AGCGAACGCUGGCGGCAGGCCUAACACAUGCAAGUCGAACGAACCCUUCGGGGUUAGUGGCGGACGGGUGAGUAACACGUGGGAACGUGCCUUUAGGUUCGGAAUAACUCAGGGAAACUUGUGCUAAUACCGAAUGUGCCCUUCGGGGGAAAGAUUUAUCGCCUUUAGAGCGGCCCGCGUCUGAUUAGCUAGUUGGUGAGGUAAGGGCUCACCAAGGCUACGAUCAGUAGCUGGUCUGAGAGGAUGACCAGCCACAUUGGGACUGCGACACGGCGCAAACUCCUACGGGAGGCAGCCGGGGGGAAUCUUGCGCAAUGGGCGAAAGCCUGACGCCGCCAUGCCGCGUGAAUGAUGAAGGUCUUAGGAUUGUAAAAUUCUUUCACCGGGGACGAUAAUGACGGUACCCGGAGAAGAAGCCCCGGCUAACUUCGUGCCAGCAGCCGCCGUAACAC
rnacentral:rRNA from 1 species